GACGAACGCUGGCGGCGUGCUUAACACAUGCAAGUCGAACGGAAAGGCCUCUUUCGGGGGGUACUCGAGUGGCGAACGGGUGAGUAACACGUGAGUAACCUGCCCUUGACUUUGGGAUAACUUCAGGAAACUGGGGCGAAUACCGGAUAGGAGCUCCUGCUGCAUGGUGGGGGUUGGAAAGUUUCGGCGGUUGGGGAUGGACUCGCGGCUUAUCAGCUUGUUGGUGGGGUAGUGGCUUACCAAGGCUUUGACGGGUAGCCGGCCUGAGAGGGUGACCGGCCACCUUGGGACUGAGAGACGGCCCAGACUCCUACGGGAGGCAGCAGUGGGGAAUAUUGCACAAUGGGUGGAAGCCUGAUGCAGCAACGCCGUGUGCGGGAUGACGGCCUUCGGGUUGUAAACCGCUUUCGCUCAUGACGAAGCUUUGUGUGACGGUAGUGGGUAAAGAAGCACCGGCUAACUACGUG
rnacentral:rRNA from 1 species